rnacentral:lncRNA from 1 species
UAGCCAACCUGAGGCGGAUCGCUGUCGAGGGCAGCGUUGCCGACGCCGGAGCCCAGCAGAGCUGUCGUACUAGAAUUUCAAAAUUGGCCGAGUAAGCGCUGGAUCUUUUUUUUUGGGUUAUUUGGGACAUGUGUAGGUACCGUAGGCGCAGGCGCAUUUCGAUUCUGAGAAAAAAUUCAGGGAACCCAGGGAUCACCCGUAGACGCAGCGAUAAUCUAGUUUUCGGUGUCGAAUCAAGUA